rnacentral:rRNA from 1 species
UACGUAGGUGGCAAGCGUUGUCCGGAUUUACUGGGCGUAAAGAGCGCGCAGGCGGUCGUUCAAGUCGCGUGUGAAAGCCCCCGGCUCAACUGGGGAGGGUCACGCGAUACUGAUCGACUCGAAGGCAGGAGAGGGUAGUGGAAUUCCCGGUGUAGUGGUGAAAUGCGUAGAUAUCGGGAGGAACACCAGUGGCGAAGGCGACUACCUGGCCUGUUCUUGACGCUGAGGCGCGAAAGCUAGGGAGCAACGGG